rnacentral:rRNA from 1 species
UACGGGGGGGGCAAGCGUUGUUCGGAAUUACUGGGCGUAAAGGGUGCGUAGGCGGCUUUCUAAGUUGGAUGUGAAAACUCUGGGCUCAACCCAGAGCCUGCAUCCAAAACUGGAGAGCUUGGGUUCUGGAGGGGAAAGCGGAAUUCCUGGUGUAGCGGUGAAAUGCGUAGAUAUCAGGAGGAACACCGGUGGCGAAGGCGGCUUCCUGGACAGAUACCGACGCUGAGGCACGAAAGCUAGGGGAGCAAACAGG